rnacentral:sRNA from 1 species
UCACCACGGUCGAGUGGUUCGCGAGACGCU